GCUUUUGCGCAGCGAGGAGGUCGGCGCUGGGACUCAGAUUCAUGGUGCUCCUAAUGCAUGGAAGCAAAGUCUCCAGGCUGCAAAGUCUGCGAACUCAGGCCAUGGGGGAAAAAUCAUACAAAAUCCUCACAGCCACAGAGCAUCACUAAAUGGAGAUGAGAUGUCAUGUAAGUAGAAAGGGUGCAGAAUAGCAGCCUGUUAGCAUUCAUUUUGUUCAAUGGAGAGCCUUCUCACGCCCAAACCUAGGGAACUUCUCUCGAUGUUUCAACCUGUAUACGUUGUGAAUUCAUGGUGUGAUACAUUAGGUACAUAAGUUUUCAUUGACCUUCUGUUGUGUUUUGUUUACUGCUUGUUUCAAUCAGACUUGAUUUUUCUAUCUGAAACAAGAAUUCUGGACAAGAAAACGUUCUUUAAGUCUGGUAUUUUGUAUUUAUAGGUAUAGGUACAAUAUUUCUAACAUGUCUUGACCUUCUGGCAGGUAUUUAAGAGUGGCCCUCUCUUCAUGUCAUCGAAAGGAAUUGGAUGGAAAUCAUGGAAAAAACGUUGGUUCAUCCUCACACGAACGUCACUGGUUUUCUUCAAGAGUGAUCCUAGUACAUUACCACAGAGAAGUGGUAAAGUGAACCUUACAUUGGGGGGGAUUGACCUUAAAUUACCACAGAGAAGUGGUGAAGUGAACCUUACAUUCU